rnacentral:rRNA from 1 species
GAGUUUGAUCGUGGUCAGGACGAACGCUGGCGGCGUGCUUAACACAUGCAAGUCGAACGAAGCGCCUUAUUUGAUUUUCUUCGGAACUGAAGAUUUGGUGACUGAGUGGCGGACGGGUGAGUAACGCGUGGGUAACCUGCCCUGUACAGGGGAUAACAAUCAGAAAUGACUGCUAAUACCGCAUAAGACCACAGCACCGCAUGGUGCCAGGGGUAAAAACUCCGGUGGUACAGGAUGGACCCGCGUCUGAUUAGCUGGUUGGUGAGGUAACGGCUCACCAAGGCGACGAUCAGUAGCCGGCUUGAGAGAGUGAACGGCCACAUUGGGACUGAGACACGGCCCAAACCUCCUACGGGAGG